UGAGGAAUAUUGGUCAAUGGGCGCGAGCCUGAACCAGCCAAGUCGCGUGAGGGAAGAAUGGUCUAUGGCCUGUAAACCUCUUUUGUCAAGGAAGAAUAAAAGGUACGUGUACCUUCUUGCCAGUACUUGACGAAUAAGCAUCGGCUAACUCCGUGCCAGCAGCCGCGGUAAUACGGGGGAUGCGAGCGUUAUCCGGAUUUAUUGGGUUUAAAGGGCGCGUAGGCGGGACGCCAAGUCAGCGGUAAAAGACUGCAGCUAAACUGUAGCACGCCGUUGAAACUGGCGACCUGGAGACGAGACGAGGGAGGCGGAACAAGUGAAGUAGCGGUGAAAUGCUUAGAUAUCACUUGGAACCCCGAUAGCGAAGGCAGCUUCCCAGGCUCGAUCUGACGCUGAUGCG
rnacentral:rRNA from 1 species